ensembl:snoRNA small nucleolar RNA SNORA38
CCUUCCUACAACGGUGUGCUUUUGGUUCCUUGUCUUUGCACACAUAAGAAUUGGAGGCAAAAAAAAAAAAUAAUUGUGGAUUUGGGGAUAUCUGGGACCAGCUUGCUCCCUGCAGGCUCAAGAUCAACCAUCUCACAUAA